rnacentral:sRNA from 1 species
AUCGUCAAGGCGUGGCCCUCGGAAUGAAGGCAGCAGGUGCCCUUUUUCUAACACGGUUUAAAGUCUAUAUGUGGGACCUACUGUGGGUGGUUAGGGCCGGGGCAUCUCAGCAUCUAGAUUCGAUUCUUUUGUCCUUUGCUGUUGCGCUAGGUGUAGCCAGUUCUUCUGACUCGAGGCUCUAGAUGUGAGUGCUUUUGUGUGGGACUAUUUUAAGACGCUCUCUGCCAUCUUGAAUGAAAAAAAUCGAGCGAGUGUUUUUGAUGCCAUUUUUUCCAUCAGACACAGGUCAAAACUCGCACCCCUAAUUCUCCACUUUACCAAUACUUACAGGAUCUGGGACACACAGACUUUGAAAUAUGUUCUUCUUUGUCACCAAAAACAGAAAAAUGCACAACAGAGGGACAACAAAAGCCUCCUACAAGAGUCCUACCAAAACAAGGUAUCCUGUUAAAAGUGGCUGAAACCAUCAAAAGUUGGAUUUUUUUUUCUCAGUGCAAUAAGAAAGAUGACUUACUUCACAAGCUGGAUAUUGGAUUCCGACUCGACUCAUUACAUACCAUCCUGCAACAGGAAGUCCUGUUACAAGAGGAUGUGGAGCUGAUUGAGCUACUUGAUCCCAGUAUCCUGUCUGCAGGGCAAUCUCAACAACAGGAAAAUGGACACCUUCCAACACUUUGCUCCCUGGCAACCCCUAAUAUUUGGGAUCUCUCAAUGCUAUUUGCCUUCAUUAGCUUGCUCGUUAUGCUUCCCACUUGGUGGAUUGUGUCUUCCUGGCUGGUAUGGGGAGUGAUUCUAUUUGUGUAUCUGGUCAUAAGAGCUU